ensembl:lncRNA
GGGAGCCCUGCGCCUGGUAAUUGCGCGCCCUGCAGCCUAUUUGCGGUGCGUGGAAAGUGCGUGGAGGAUGCGUUGCGUUGAUUCCUCCCGGCAGCGAGUUUACCUGGCUCGGGGAAGGGCAUCGCGUUGAGAGGAGCCACCUCGCUGACCCCCGGACCCUGUCGCGGCGGGACGCGUUCACGGCUGAGGACAGGAGGACGCGUGGAAAGCCCACAGACACCUGGCAGGUGUUGGGAUGCGGGAAUCGUGGAGCCAGCGGGAUGCGCUCUUGGGGACCCUGCUCGUCGUGCUGCUGACCCCGGCCUGGACUAACGGCGAGUGUAUUUGUAACGGACACUCCAGGUGCCUCUGUUAUGGGGACAGAGGCGAUAAGGGACAGAAAGGAUAUCCUGGAUUUAUAGGAUUUACAGGAGUUCGAGGACCUGAUGGAGAAUCGGGGCUACAAGGACCUCAGGUGUGUGCAAAAUGUCAUUUUUAUGAGUGUAUGCAUUGAACAUAUCCUGGAGCAGCGUUUGGGGUUGACCAGUCUCACCAGAUUAUCAAACUGCAUGA